AUUGAACGCUGGCGGCAGGCCUAACACAUGCAAGUCGAGCGAGCGGCGGACGGGUGAGUAAUGUCUGGGAAACUGCCUGAUGGUGGGGGAUAACUACUGGAAACGGUAGCUAAUACCGCAUAACAUCAGAUGUGCCCAGAUGGGAUUAGCUUGGAGUUGGGGUAACGGCUCACCUAGGCGACGCUCCCUAGCUGGUCUGAGAGGAUGACCAGCCACCCUGGAACUGAGACACGGUCCAGACUCCGACGGGAGGCAGCAGUGGGGAAUAUGGCACAAUGGGAGCAAGCCUGAUCCAGCCAUGCCGCGUGUGGUAAGAAGGCCUGCGGGUUGUAAAGCACUUUCAGCGGGGAGGCGUUACCCGCAGAAGAAGCACCGGCUAACUCCGUGCCAGCAGCCGCGGUAAUUC
rnacentral:rRNA from 1 species